CUCGUCCAGGCAGAUGUCGUUAUUCACAGCAGGGUUGGGGUAGUUGGGGUACCUCGCUAAGAAUUUGUGGCAUAGCAACCCCAAGCUCUUCUCCUUCCGACUCGGCUGGGAUUUCUCAAAUUCGUCUCCAGAUAAGUGUUCCUGCAGAGGAAGAGUAGGUCGACAUUUCCGACAGCUCAGGGUUCCACACUGAUGGUCCCUUCCUCCACAAGCCCCCAGACGCCGCCACCCAGCCCCCCUGUAAACCUACGUGCAAACAGUCUCUGGCUUCAGGGAUGUGGACCUGUUUUGUACAAAUUGGUGGUGUGUUUUGGGUUCUUCAGAAUUGUGGCUUCUGGUUCACUGGAGGUGGCUGUGCCCCUACUUCCCCAAUCCCCUGAAGUGGCUGGCAUUGGCACAGAUAAGGCUGUUGAACAUCAACGUGUUCUCUCUGGCCUUGGACCUGCAUGCUGCAGAGAGACUCUGAUGGCUCUUAUGAUCAUGGACCUUCCCAUAUGAGGUUCUAGGCAGUUACAAAGAGCUUUAACAACCUGUUCCCAAGCUGGUCUCUUGCUCACUCCCCAGCCCUUUUGAAUACCCCUUUUGGUAUGAAUUUGAAGAUCUAAUUUUACUAUCAUCUCUCAAAUGCUCAGGCGUGUUACAGUUUUACUCUUCUUAAGAGAGCAGGAUCUACCCUUCACUCGGGGUUAUUCUCUGCAUCCUAGCUGAUGUUCUAGA
ensembl:processed_transcript